rnacentral:rRNA from 1 species
GAUGAACGCUGGCGGCGUGCCUAAUACAUGCAAGUCGAGCGAACGGACGAGAAGCUUGCUUCUCUGAUGUUAGCGGCGGACGGGUGAGUAACACGUGGAUAACCUACCUAUAAGACUGGGGUAACUUCGGGAAACCGGAGCUAAUACCGGAUGAUAUUUUGAACCGCAUGGUUCAAAAGUGAAAGACGGUCUUGCUGUCACUUAUAGAUGGAUCCGCGCUGCAUUAGCUAGUUGGUAAGGUAACGGCUUACCAAGGCAACGAUGCAUAGCCGACCUGAGAGAGUGAUCGGCCACACUAGAACUGAGACACGGUCCAGACUCCUACGGGAGGCAGCAGUAGGGAAUCUUCCGCAAUGGGCGAAAGCCUGACGGAGCAACGCCGCGUGAGUGAUGAAGGUCUUCGGAUCGUAAAACUCUGUUAUUAGGGAAGAACAUAUGUGUAAGUAACUGUGCACAUCUUGACGGUACCUAAUCAGAAAGCCACGGCUAACUACGUG